CUACGGGACGCUCCAGUGGGGAAUAUUGGGCAAUGGGCGCAAGCCUGACCCAGCAACGCCGCGUGAGGGAAGAAGGUUUUCGGAUUGUAAACCUCUGUCCUUGGGGACGAAGAAGUGACGGUACCCAAGGAGGAAGCCCCGGCUAACUACGUGCCAGCAGCCGCGGUAAUACGUAGGGAGCAAGCGUUGUCCGGAAUUACUGGGCGGAAAGGGUGCGUAGGCGGCAUAUUAAGUCAGGUGUGAAAUACUCGGGCUCAACCCGGGGGCUGCAUUUGAAACUGAUAUGCUUGAGUGUGAGAGAGGAAAGUGGAAUUCCUAGUGUAGCGGUGGAAUGCGUAGAUAUUAGGAGGAACACCAGUGGCGAAGGCGACUUUCUGGCUCAUAACUGACGCUGAGGCACGAAAGCGUGGGGAGCAAACAGGAUUAGAUACCCUGGUAGUC
rnacentral:rRNA from 1 species